rnacentral:lncRNA from 1 species
CGACUGACUUGGUUUUUUAUACCUUAUUUAUGCACCACUUUAUUUCCUCAUGCCUUUUCUCCGUCUCUUCUCUCUCCUCUCCUUUUCUCCUCUCCAUCUCUCCUUCUCUUCUCUCUCCUCUUCUCCUCCCCUCCUCUCCGUCUGUCCUCCUCUCCUCUCCAUCUCUCCUACCUCCUCUCCAUCUCUUCUCUCCAUCUCUUCUCUCCUCUCCUUUUCUCCUCUCCUCCUCUCCUCCUCUCCAUCUCUCCUCCUCUCCAUCUCUCCUCCUCUCCUCCCCUUCUCUCCAUCUCUUCUCUCCUCCCCUUCUCUCCUCCUCUCCCUUUCUCCUCCCUCCUCUCCAUCUCUUCUCUGCUCUCCUUUUCUCCUCUCCGUCUCUCCUCCUCUCCAUCUCUCCUCCUCUCCUCCCCUUCUCUCCUCCUCUCCAUCUCUCCUCCUCUCCUCCCCUUCUCUCCUCCCCUUCUCCUCUCCUUUUCUCCAUCUCUUCUCUCCUUUUCUCCUCUCUGUCUCUCCUCCUCUCCAUCUCGCCUCCUCUCCUUUUCUCCUCCCCUCCUCUCCUUCUCUCCUCCUCUCCAUCUCUUCUCCUCCUCUCCUCUCCAUCUCUCCUCCUCUCCAUCUCUCCUCCUCUCCAUCUCUCCUCCUCUCCUUUUCUCCUCUCCUCCUCUCCAUCUCUCCUCCUCUCCAUCUCUUCUCCUCCUCUCCUCUCCAUCUCUCCUCCUCUCCAUCUCUUCUCCUCCUCUCCAUCUCUUCUCCUCCUCUCCUCUCCAUCUCUCCUCCUCUCCAUCUCUUCUCCUCCUCUCUUCUCCUCCUCUCUUCUCCUCCCCUCCUCUCCAUCUCUUCUCCUCCUCUCCUCCUCUCUUCUCCUCCUCUCCUCCUCUCCAUCUCUUCUCCUCCUCUCCUCCUCUCCUCCUCUCCAUCUCUCCUCCUCUCCUCUCCUCUCCUCUCCUCCUCUCUUCUCCUCCUCUCUUCUCCUCCUCUCCUCUCCAUCUCUCCUCCUCUCCUCUCCUCUCCUCUCCUCCUCUCCUCUCCUCCUCUCCAUCUCUCCUCCUCCUCUCCUCCUCUUCUCUCCUCUUCUCCUCCUCUCUUCUCCUCCUCUCCUCCUCUCCAUCUCUUCUCCUCCUCUCCUCCUCUCCCCUCCUCUCCUCCUCUCCAUCUCUCCUCCUCUCUUCUCCUCCUCUCUUCUCCUCCUCUCUUCUCCUCCUCUCCUCUCCACCUCUCCUCCUCUCCUCUCCUCCUCUCCUCUCCUCUUCUCCUCCUCCCCUCCUCUCCAUCUCUCCUCCCCUCUCCUCCUCUCCAUCUCUCCUCCUCUCUCCUCCUCUCCUCCUCUCCUCUCCAUCUCUCCUCCUCUCCUCUCCUCUCCUCUCCUCUCCUCUCCUCUCCUCUCCUCUCCUCUCCUCUCCUCUCCUCUCCUCUCCUCUCCUCUCCUCUCCUCUCCUCUCCACCUCUCCUCCUCUCCUCUCCUCUCCUCUCCUCCUCUCCUCUUCUCCUCCUCUCUUCUCCUCCUCCCCUCCUCUCCAUCUCUCCUCCCCUCUCCUCCUCUCCUCCUCUCCAUCUCUCCUCCUCUCUCCUCCUCUCCUCUCCUCUCCUCCUCUCCUCCUCUCCAUCUCUCCUCCUCCUCCCCAUGUUCCUUUCAUUCCGUUCUU